rnacentral:rRNA from 1 species
AUACGUAGGUGACAAGCGUUGUCCGGAUUUACUGGGUGUAAAGGGCGUGUAGGCGGAGAUGCAAGUCAGGAGUGAAAUCUAGGGGCUCAACCCCUAAACUGCUUUUGAAACUGUAUCCCUUGAGUAUCGGAGAGGCAGGCGGAAUUCCUAGUGUAGCGGUGAAAUGCGUAGAUAUUAGGAGGAACACCAGUGGCGAAGGCGGCCUGCUGGACGACAACUGGCGCUGAGGCGCGAAAGCGUGGGGAGCAAACAGGAUUAGAUACCCUGGUAGUCCACGCUGUAAACGAUGAAUACUAGGUGUGGGGGGACUGACCCCCUCCGUGCCGCAGUUAACACAAUAAGUAUUCCACCUGGGGAGUACGAUCGCAAGAUUGAAACUCAAAGGAAUUGACGGGG